rnacentral:misc_RNA from 1 species
GAUGAAGAACGUAGCGAAAUGCGAUACUUGGUGUGAAUUGCAGAAUCCCGUGAACCAUCGAGUCUUUGAACGCAAGUUGCGCCCGAAGCCACUAGGCCGAGGGCACGCCUGCCUGGGCGUCACACGUCGUUGCCCCCCCCCCAUCUACUCCUUCGGGAUUGCGGGGGGCGGAUGAUGGCCUCCCGUGCGCCUAGCCGCGCGGUUGGCAUAAAUACCAAGUCCUCGGCGACGCACGCCACGACAAUCGGUGGUUGCGAAACCUCGGUUGCCCGUCGUGUGCGUUCGUCGCGCAUCGAGGGCUCGAAAAAAUGCUCGGCUCCGGCUCGGCUUUCAACGCGACCCCAGGUCAGGCGGGGUUACCCGCUGAAUUUAAGCAUACAAUAAGCGGAGGC